GUCGCCUGAGUCUAUCUUCUCCCCAGGUCAGGCUCCCCAGGCUUUCUUGGCCCCCUGACCCCUCCUUCCUCUCCCAGGACUGUAUUUCCCCUGCCUCUCACUUGCCUCCCAGCAACCUAAGCAGAACAAUACUGGAAGUGGAACUGGCACUCUGACAAAAAGGAGAGCAAUUGGAAAGAAAACUUUACUCAUCAAGAAAGAGCCCUGUGGCAGGAAUUCAAAGGGCCAAGUUCUGCCCUCAGCUGUGAGUCAUGACUCCCACGAAAGCCAGGAGCUCAUAUGUGAUUUAAAUGUGCAACCAGUGAUGAGAAUUACUGAACCAACAAAAGAAGCUGACCAUGAGGAGAAAGAGUCAUAACCCUCAGCAGUGCCAGAAGAGACAUACACACACACAGGCUGAAUUCCUCGCCAGACUUUCUUUCACACUGUUCUGUUGACAAAUUCUUUUUUCAAUUACCUGAGAUAUUCCAGUGUCUUUCCAAUAAAUCCUCCUUUUAUCCUAUGCU
rnacentral:lncRNA from 9 species